UUCGCGUCUCCCAGCGCCCGCGCUCCUUUAGGCCAGGGGCGGGCCUGCGGUGAAAACGUGGGAAAGGCGUGAGUUGUUGGCGGACGGGCUGGGGACUGCAUCUUUGGCGUCUGUUAUUAGCUGUGGAGGCAUCUUAAAUUUCCUGAGCGGCCUGUUUUCUUCUUAAGCCUUGCAUCCUAUGCCUCUUGCCUCUCUGAAUCUAAUGGCUUGUGCAGAUGAUAUUCCUGCCACCUCUGGUGGAUGAUGACAGCUGCAGCCCACUGCUCUGGCUAAGCAAGCAUGCCAGAAAGCUUGGAGAACCUCAGCUGCCCUUUACAGGGCAAAAGUAUCCUCUUGAGUAGCUAAAGCUCGGACUUCUAAGUAAGGCAUCAAUGAGGAGAUCAUCCUGACUCUGUUGACAUCCUGAAGUAAUCCUCAGUACCAAGAAAUCUCUUUGAACUUAAAAAAUCUAUUUGGCAAGUGGAUUCCCACAGGAAUAGAAUUUCCUGCACGAAAGUUGAAAUGAAACUGAAGAGCUCUGGGUGCUUGGGUGGCUCAGUUGGUUGAGCGACUGCCUUCGGCUCAGGUCAUGAU